UACGUAGGGGGCAAGCGUUGUCCGGAUUUAUUGGGCGUAAAGAGCGUGUAGGCGGCCUGACAGGUCUGGUGUGAAAACUCGAGGCUCAACCUCGAGAUGUCGGCGGAAACCGUCUGGCUAGAGUCCGGAAGAGGAGAGUGGAAUUCCUGGUGUAGCGGUGAAAUGCGCAGAUAUCAGGAAGAACACCUAUGGCGAAGGCAGCUCUCUGGGACGGUACUGACGCUGAGACGCGAAAGCGUGGGGAGCGAACAGG
rnacentral:rRNA from 1 species